rnacentral:rRNA from 1 species
GGUCCCGCCUGCCCAGUGACAACUUAGUUCAACGGCCGCGGUAUUUUGACCGUGCAAAGGUAGCGUAAUCACUUGUCUUUUAAAUGAAGACCUGUAUGAAUGGCAUAACGAGGGCUUAACUGUCUCCUUCCCCUGGUCAAUGAAAUUGAUCUCCCCGUGCAGAAGCGGGGAUAAAACCAUAAGACGAGAAGACCCUAUGGAGCUUUAGACACACAGGUGGCCCAUGUCAAAUACCCCCAGCUAAGGGCCUGAACUAAAUGGAACCUGCCUUGAUGUCUUCGGUUGGGGCGACCAUGGGGAAUACAAAACCCCCACGUGGAAAGGGAGCACACCCCUAAGUUACUUCUUCUCCCGCAAGCCAGAGCAACAGCUCUAACAAGCAGAAAUUCUGACCAAACUGAUCCGGUAAAACCGAUCAACGAACCAAGUUACCCUAGGGAUAACAGCGCAAUCCCCUUUUAGAGCCCAUAUCGACAAGGGGGUUUACGACCUCGAUGUUGGAUCAGGACAUCCUAAUGGUGCAGCCGCUAUUAAGGGUUCGUUUGUUCAACGA